AAAGACCCAGGCGCAAGAAGCACUGAGAGCUGGCGCACAGAUGCACUGUUUCCCACGUGAACCAGCCCCUGCGGACCUCUCCACGGGAGACCCCAGUUACACAUCCCUCUGCCCGUGGCACGAGGCUGGAGCGGCUGCCCAGGGCCUGCUCGGCAGGCAGGGAUGGACACAGGAAACUGACGUGCAGGCCCCAGAGCUGGCAGCAGCAGAGCUAGAAUCAGAAUCCAGCCCAUUGUGAAGGGCUAAAAUCCUCCAUUAAAAGGUUCUUAUGUUAGACCUAACAACAAGUAAACUACAUGUUACUCUCCUGGGGUUUUUGUCUGCUCCUAGACCUGAGACAUUCUGUUGAAAAUAAACCCCACAGUAACUUCAGUCCAAAGGCCUUUGCAGUGAUGGCAGACCUGGCCAGAGCGCCCUGCAGCUCCUCCUCCUUCUUGGCCAACUGGAUCUUGAGCUCGUCGAUCUGUGCCUGGAGCUCAGCGAUCUGGUCCUGCAGGUCAGUUGUUUCACCAUCAAGUUUUCUUUUGGCUUUUUCCAGUUCCUGACGAGUCUUCUCUUCCUUCUUUAAGCGUUCU